ACAGCGGAAUCCGAAAAGCUUUACGAGUAGGAA
rnacentral:ncRNA from 1 species